UUAGCUCAUAAUUGUAUGGAAUGGGAUCGUUUGCGUACGUUUGCCGCUAGGGGCGCUGUUCCAACUGCAUACAAAAUUGGGUUA
rnacentral:pre_miRNA from 1 species